UACAGAGGGUGCAAGCGUUGUCCGGAAUUAUUGGGCGUAAAGAGCUCGUAGGCGGUCUGUCGCGUCUGCUGUGAAAUCCUCAGGCUCAACCUGGGGCUUGCAGUGGGUACGGGCUGACUGGAGUGCGGUAGGGGUGACUGGAAUUCCUGGUGUAGCGGUGGAAUGCGCAGAUAUCAGGAGGAACACCGAUGGCGAAGGCAGGUCACUGGGCCGCAACUGACGCUGAGGAGCGAAAGCAUGGGGAGCGAACAGG
rnacentral:rRNA from 1 species